UGUCAUACAUAAAAAAGCAUUGAAAUAGUUUUGAAUGUCGUACAAAAUGUGCAAAUUGUAUUUGUUUAAGUUGCUUUAGUAAGCGAAUUAAAGUAAAAAAUACAAAUGCCAAGCAAAUAAUUUACAUAAAUUGUUAUUGAGAAAAGCGGGCAAUGGCCAGGCCCAAUUGAUCUGCGACUGUACUUGCCUUAAUUCUUUAGACUCACUAACACAGAUGUACGUGUAUUAACGGAACUCAAUUGUAAUUAAGCUUGCAUAAAUUAAGGUCUGAAGCUGACGCGACUCAGACUGUAACGUCACGUACUACCUUACCAUGAAGUCCGGAUUUGAUGACGCUUCGAACAAGCGAAACGAAACGCUUUGAAAUUGAAGGCGAACCUUAAGCAAUGUCCAGCAUUGGCCUCAAAGAUGAAUUGGGUGAGAUUGGGCCAAAGAUACAGAUAUAAAUUGGGAAAA